UGCUUAACACAUGCAAGUCGAACGAUGAUCCGGUGCUUGCACCGGGGAUUAGUGGCGAACGGGUGAGUAACACGUGAGUAACCUGCCCUUAACUCUGGGAUAAGCCUGGGAAACUGGGUCUAAUACCGGAUAUGACCUUCCAUCGCAUGGUGGUUGGUGGAAAGCUUUUUGUGGUUUUGGAUGGACUCGCGGCCUAUCAGCUUGUUGGUGAGGUAAUGGCUUACCAAGGCGACGACGGGUAGCCGGCCUGAGAGGGUGACCGGCCACACUGGGACUGAGACACGGCCCAGACUCCUACGGGAGGCAGCAGUGGGGAAUAUUGCACAAUGGGCGCAAGCCUGAUGCAGCGACGCCGCGUGAGGGAUGACGGCCUUCGGGUUGUAAACCUCUUUCAGUAGGGAAGAAGCGAAAGUGACGGUACCUGCAGAAGAAGCGCCGGCUAACUACGUGCCAGCAGCCGCGGUAAUACGUAGGGCGCAAGCGUUAUCCGGAAUUAUUGGGCGUAAAGAGCUCGUAGGCGGUUUGUCGCGUCUGCCGUGAAAGUCCGGGGCUCAACUCCGGAUCUGCGGUGGGUACGGGCAGACUAGAGUGAUGUAGGGGAGACUGGAAUUCCUGGUGUAGCGGUGAAAUGCGCAGAUAUCAGGAGGAACACCGAUGGCGAAGGCAGGUCUCUGGGCAUUAACUGACG
rnacentral:rRNA from 1 species